GACGAACGCUGGCGGCGUGCCUAAUACAUGCAAGUCGAACGAACUCUGGUAUUGAUUGGUGCUUGCAUCAUGAUUUACAUUUGAGUGAGUGGCGAACUGGUGAGUAACACGUGGGAAACCUGCCCAGAAGAGGGGGAUAACACCUGGAAACAGAUGCUAAUACCGCAUAACAACUUGGACCGCAUGGUCCGAGUUUGAAAGAUGGCUUCGGCUAUCACUUUUGGAUGGUCCCGCGGCGUAUUAGCUAGAUGGUGAGGUAACGGCUCACCAUGGCAAUGAUACGUAGCCGACCUGAGAGGGUAAUCGGCCACAUUGGGACUGAGACACGGCCCAAACUCCUACGGGAGGCAGCAGUAGGGAAUCUUCCACAAUGGACGAAAGUCUGAUGGAGCAACGCCGCGUGAGUGAAGAAGGGUUUCGGCUCGUAAAACUCUGUUGUUAAAGAAGAACAUAUCUGAGAGUAACUGUUCAGGUAUUGACGGUAUUUAACCAGAAAGCCACGGCUAACUACGUGCCAGCAGCCGCGGUAAUACGUAGGUGGCAAGCGUUGUCCGGAUUUAUUGGGCGUAAAGCGAGCGCAGGCGGUUUUUUAAGUCUGAUGUGAAAGCCUUCGGCUCAACCGAAGAAGUGCAUCGGAAACUGGGAAACUUGAGUGCAGAAGAGGACAGUGGAACUCCAUGUGUAGCGGUGAAAUGCGUAGAUAUAUGGAAGAACACCAGUGGCGAAGGCGGCUGUCUGGUCUGUAACUGACGCUGAGGCUCGAAAGUAUGGGUAGCAAACAGGAUUAGAUACCCUGGUAGUCCAUACCGUAAACGAUGAAUGCUAAGUGUUGGAGGGUUUCCGCCCUUCAGUGCUGCAGCUAACGCAUUAAGCAUUCCGCCUGGGGAGUACGGCCGCAAGGCUGAAACUCAAAGGAAUUGACGGGGGCCCGCACAAGCGGUGGAGCAUGUGGUUUAAUUCGAAGCUACGCGAAGAACCUUACCAGGUCUUGACAUACUAUGCAAAUCUAAGAGAUUAGACGUUCCCUUCGGGGACAUGGAUACAGGUGGUGCAUGGUUGUCGUCAGCUCGUGUCGUGAGAUGUUGGGUUAAGUCCCGCAACGAGCGCAACCCUUAUUAUCAGUUGCCAGCAUUAAGUUGGGCACUCUGGUGAGACUGCCGGUGACAAACCGGAGGAAGGUGGGGAUGACGCCAAAUCAUCAUGCCCCUUAUGACCUGGGCUACACACGUGCUACAAUGGAUGGUACAACGAGUUGCGAACUCGCGAGAGUAAGCUAAUCUCUUAAAGCCAUUCUCAGUUCGGAUUGUAGGCUGCAACUCGCCUACAUGAAGUCGGAAUCGCUAGUAAUCGCGGAUCAGCAUGCCGCGGUGAAUACGUUCCCGGGCCUUGUACACACCGCCCGUCACACCAUGAGAGUUUGUAACACCCAAAGUCGGUGGGGUAACCUUUUAGGAACCAGCCGCCUAAGGUGGGACAGAUGAUUAGGGUG
rnacentral:rRNA from 1 species